ACGACUGUACACCAAGAUCCCACAACUCGUCGAUAACGCAUAUGGUGAAGGUAUGUAUCACUCAAACCUUUCCUUUUCUUCUUCAACCGAAAGUUUUGAAAUCCUCUACACCGUUUCUCUCCUCUCUACUCUGGUGAAGAUCCAAACACAACAAAGGUUUCCCGAGCAACCUUCAAUGCUUCGGUCUCAAGCCUGGUGGCUCAAAUCGCAGGAUCCAGCUGUGAGAGGGAAGGCAUCUGACCA